UACGUAGGCAGCGAGCGUUGUUCGGAGUUACUGGGCGUAAAGCGUGUGUAGGCGGAUCGUUAAGUGCCUUGUGAAAUCCCACGGCUUAACCGUGGAACUGCUUGGCAUACUGGCGGUCUUGAGCCACUUAGGGGCUACCGGAACAAAUGGUGGAGCGGUGAAAUGCGUAGAUAUCAUUUGGAACGCCAAUGGUGAAAACAGGUAGCUGGGAGUGUGCUGACGCUGAGACACGAAAGCCAGGGGAGCGAACGGG
rnacentral:rRNA from 1 species